AAUCUCCAUUAUUGAUCUUGUUACUCAAGUUCUUGCAGGUCUUGAUUAUGAUUAUAAUCCAGUUGUAUGUCAACUUGUGGAUAAGAAAGAUAUUACAUGGGUAGAGCUUCAAGCUACUUUGCUCACUUUUGAGA